CCAUGAAGUCGGAAUUGCUAGUAAUGGCAGGUCAGCAUACUGCCGUGAAUACGUUCCCGGGCCUUGUACACACCGCCCGUCACACCAUAAGAGUUGGAGAUACCCGAAGCCUAUGAGCUAACUUUUAGAGGCAGUAGUCGAAGGUAGAAUCAAUGAUUGGGGUGAAGUCGUAACAAGGUACC
rnacentral:rRNA from 1 species